rnacentral:misc_RNA from 1 species
GAUGAAGAACGUAGCGAAAUGCGAUACUUGGUGUGAAUUGCAGAAUCCCGUGAACCAUCGAGUCUUUGAACGCAAGUUGCGCCCGAAGCAAUUAGGCCGAGGGCACGCCUGCCUGGGCGUCACACGUCGUUGCCCCCCCAUCUACUCCUUCGGGAUUGCGGGGGGCGGAUGAUGGCCUCUCGUGCGCCUCGUCGCGCGGUUGGCCUAAAUGCCAAGUCCUCGGCGACGCACGCCACGACAAUCGGGGGUUGCGAAACCUCGGUUGCCUGUCGUGUGCGGUCGUCGCGCAUCGAGGGCUCGAAAAAAUUGCCGGGCUUCGGCUCGACUUUCAACGCGACCCCAGGUCAGGCGGGGUUACCCGCUGAAUUUAAGCAUAUCAAUAAGCGGAGGA